rnacentral:rRNA from 1 species
CAGUCGCCGCGGUAAUACGAAGGGGGCUAGCGUUGCUCGGAAUUACUGGGCGUAAAGGGCGCGUAGGCGGACAGUUCAGUCGGGGGUGAAAGCCCGGGGCUCAACCUCGAAAUUGCCUUCGAUACUGGCUGUCUUGAGUAUGAGAGAGGUGUGUGGAACUCCGGGUGUAGAGGUGAAAUUCGUAGAUAUUCGGAAGAACACCGGUGGCGAAGGCGACACACUGGCUCAUUACUGACGCUGAGGCGCGAAAGCGUGGGGAGCAAACAGGAUUAGAUACCCGGGUAGUCCCUGUCUCUUAUAC